rnacentral:lncRNA from 1 species
AAAAAAUAAAUCUUUCAUAGGAACAACUUCAAAAGAAAUUUCAAGAAAAGUCUCAUGGCAACAUGGGAAGAACUUGGCAACGAUGAAAAAGCUGAUAAAGAAGAAGCCAAUCUUUCUUUGAUGGCAUCAACUUUUUUAGGCUCUAAAUCAGAAGUUGGUUCUGACUCUGAUUUAAAAGACAUAAAAGAUGUAUUUUCUAAACUCUCUAAAUCUGAAAUAAUUAAUUUGUGUCAAGACGUUAUGGAAAGAUGCCAGCAAAAAGCCAGACAUAUGAAAA